rnacentral:tRNA from 1 species
GGGCGUAUAGCUUAGUCUGGUAGAGCGCUGGUCUUAUAUACCAGAGGUCCCAGGUUCAAAUCCUGGUUCGCCCA